rnacentral:rRNA from 1 species
UACGUAGGUGGCAAGCGUUGUCCGGAUUUACUGGGCGUAAAGAGCGCGCAGGCGGUCGUUCAAGUCGUGUGUGAAAGCCCCCGGCUCAACUGGGGAGGGUCACGCGAUACUGAUCGACUCGAAGGCAGGAGAGGGUAGUGGAAUUCCCGGUGUAGUGGUGAAAUGCGUAGAUAUUGGGAGGAACACCAGUGGCGAAGGCGACUACCUGGCCUGUUAUUGACGCUGAGGCGCGAAAGCUAGGGGAGCAAACGGG